rnacentral:rRNA from 1 species
AACUUUUAGCAACGGAUCUCUUGGCUCUCGCAUCGAUGAANAACGCAGCGAAAUGCGAUAAGUAAUGUGAAUUGCAGAAUUCAGUGAAUCAUCGAAUCUUUGAACGCACCUUGCGCUCCUUGGUAUUCCGAGGAGCAUGCCUGUUUGAGUGUCAUUA